rnacentral:rRNA from 1 species
CCUACGGGUGGCUGCAGUGGGGAAUAUUGGACAAUGGGGGCAACCCUGAUCCAGCCAUGCCGCGUGUGUGAAGAAGGCCCUCGGGUUGUAAAGCACUUUCAGUGAGGAAGAACGCCUGGUGGUUAAUACCCAUCAGGAAAGACAUCACUCACAGAAGAAGCACCGGCUAACUCCGUGCCAGCAGCCGCGGUAAUACGGAGGGUGCUAGCGUUAAUCGGAAUUACUGGGCGUAAAGCGCGCGUAGGUGGCUUGAUAAGCCGGUUGUGAAAGCCCCGGGCUCAACCUGUGAACGGCAUCCGGAACUGUCAAGCUAGAGUGCAGGAGAGGAAGGUAGAAUUCCCGGUGUAGCGGUGAAAUGCGUAGAGAUCGGGAGGAAUACCAGUGGCGAAGGCGGCCUUCUGGACCGACACUGACGCUGAGGUGCGAAAGCGUGGGUAGCAAACAGGAUUAGAUACCCCGGUAGUC